GAACCCACAAAGGGUGUUGGUCGA
rnacentral:ncRNA from 2 species